rnacentral:rRNA from 1 species
AACGAACGCUGGCGGCAUGCCUAACACAUGCAAGUCGAACGAAGCCUUCGGGCUUAGUGGCGCACGGGUGCGUAACGCGUGGGAAUCUGCCCUUGGGUUCGGAAUAACAGUUAGAAAUGACUGCUAAUACCGAAUGAUGUCUUCGGACCAAAGAUUUAUCGCCCAAGGAUGAGCCCGCGUCGGAUUAGCUAGUUGGUGAGGUAAAGGCUCACCAAGGCGACGAUCCGUAGCUGGUCUGAGAGGAUGAUCAGCCACACUGGGACUGAGACACGGCCCAGACUCCUACGGGAGGCAGCAGUGGGGAAUAUUGGACAAUGGGCGGAAAGCCUGAUCCAGCAAUGCCGCGUGAGUGAUGAAGGCCUUAGGGUUGUAAGCUCUUUACCCGGGUAUGAUAAUGACAGUACCGGGAGAAUAAGCCCCGGCUAACUCCGUGCCAGCAGCCGCGGUAAU